CCAACCGGCCGAACCUCCGCACCAUCCGACCGUAUAGUUCCGCACUCGCGCAGCGCCCCGCGCUCCCACGUCCCAGUGUCCCACCUGGCUUGCCGGCUUGGCUCAUCAGCAUCAUCCUGGCUCGGCUCCGAGAGUCCAUCAUGCGGCACCCCAAAUUGCGCAUAUUCCCGUUGACCUUAGAACACCCCAAGUCCCCAGUCAGUGCCAGUUUUGUUCGCCGCUAGAUGCGCUGCUACAGAGGUUUUCUUCCCCAGCCAGAUCCGCAGCAGCUUCGAUUAGGCUCCAUGGAGACGCUCCAAUCCCCCAACGGCAAUCCCGUGGGUGACUGGUCAUCGUCGUCGCGGCUGCCAUAGUUCUUGCCGCUCGUGUAACCCGGCCAUCCCGUCGAGUCCAGCGGAAAUAGGAUUAUGAGAUCAACUAGCAGACAAGCACGCCACACUAGUCCCCAUUUUUCCUUGCUGCUGUAGCUUGAAAAACAAGAAUGCUUUCAUAUUUUGUAGAAGAGCUUACCAUCCUCGAUAGGAGCAAAGCUAGUUGCCAGUCAAUUAUUGUAUCGUAAAUCCUCCCAACCAGUCCGAUCAAACCCGAGCAACCUAUCGAGCCGAGCCCACAUCAUCCGUCCAUCCCCUCGCGGCUCCGGAAAGAGACUAUGCUUAACAGAAGGCACAAAAUAUGAAAAUUUAACAUUGCCCAUAUUGUAAAUUUGCUUCUCUAGACUCGUCCAUUCGUUUGCUAUCCAUUUAAUAAAUUUAACAUUUCAUUGAGCU